UGGCGGCACUAGCGCGGUGGUCCCACCUGACCCCAUGCCGAACUCAGAAGUGAAACGCCGUAGCGCCGAUGGUAGUGUGGGGUCUCCCCAUGCGAGAGUAGGGAACUGCCA
rnacentral:rRNA from 31 species